GAUGAACGCUGGCGGCGUGCCUAAUACAUGCAAGUCGAGCGAACAGACGAGGAGCUUGCUCCUCUGACGUUAGCGGCGGACGGGCGAGUAACACGUGGAUAACCUACCUAUAAGACUGGGAUAACUUCGGGAAACCGGAGCUAAUACCGGAUAACAUGUUGAACCGCAUGGUUCAACAGUGAAAGACGGUCUUGCUGUCACUUAUAGAUGGAUCCGCGCCGCAUUAGCUAGUUGGUAAGGUAACGGCUUACCAAGGCAACGAUGCGUAGCCGACCUGAGAGGGUGAUCGGCCACACUGGAACUGAGACACGGUCCAGACUCCUACGGGAGGCAGCAGUAGGGAAUCUUCCGCAAUGGGCGAAAUCCUGACGGAGCAACGCCGCGUGAGUGAAGAAGGUCUUCGGAUCGUAAAACUCUGUUAUUAGGGAAGAACAAAUGUGUAAGUAACUAUGCACGUCUUGACGGUACCUAAUCAGAAAGCCACGGCUAACUACGUG
rnacentral:rRNA from 1 species